CUAUCCCAUUCUCUCUCCAAGUUUCUGGUAGUUUCCAGCAAUUCUUGGUGGUCCUUAGCUUGUAGAUGUAUCACUCCAAUCCUUGCCCUCAUUUUUCACAUUGCCUUCUGUGAGUCUCUCUGCAUCCUUUCCUCUUCUUAAAGACACUAGUCAUUGUAUUCAUGGCUUAUCCUAAAUCCAGCAUGAUUUCACCUCAAAAUUCUUAACUAAUUACAUGUGCAAAGACCCUAUUCCCAAAUGAGAUCACAUUCUGAGAUUUUGAGUAGACAUAAAUUUAACAGAAACACUAUUCAAACUACUACAUUUCACUCUCUGAUCAACCAAAAUUAUAUCUAUCACAUAUGGAAAUUCAUUCACCUCAUUCCAAAAUUCCGAAAGUUGAAAUCCAUCCCAGCAUCAAUUCUAAAUUAAAAAUUUUAUCUAAAUAUUAUCAAUUCAAAAGUUUUAAAUAUCAUCAUCUAAAUAAGUUAUCCAUGACUCUUGGUAUGGUCCAUCCCAGGGCUAAAUUACUCUCCAUUUGUGGACCAGUGAAAUUGAAGAGGAGGCAGGACUCCAUUCUGGACCAUAUUGAAGAUUGGCUGAAACAGAGAAGAGGCACCAAAAGCACUUCUCCAUAAGACAUGCCCACCAGUGCCAUGUCAGUUUACCACUGCCAUGGCAACACCCAGAAGUUAUUGUCCCUUGCUAUGGCAAUGACCUGGAAGUUACAACCUAUUUUCUAGAAAUUUCUGAAUAGCCCAUCCCUUAAUUUGCAUGUAAUAAAAAUUGGGCAUAAAUAUGACUGCAGGACUUCUGAUCUGCUACUCUUCAUGCUGCCUGUGGGGCAGCUCUGCUCUGCAGGAGCAGUCAUGGAGCUGUAACACUGCCACUUCAAUAAAGCUGUUUUCUUCUAUUACUAGCUCACUCUUGAAUUAUUUCCUAAGCAAAGCCAAGAAGCUUCCUGGGCUAAGCCUGCUCUGCAUCAAGUAGUGCCCAAUGUGGAGCUGAGGAGAGAAGACGAUGGUGUGACAGAUGGUGAGAGAAUUGGCAGUUGGCAGUCGGCAAGGCAAAGGCAAAGGUAAGAGAGGAGAAGAGACAGUGAUCGGUGAGAGGAUGACUAGAGAAGCGAUGAGCAGAGAGAUGGAGCAAGAUGGUGAUAGAGAGAGAUGGUAAAGCAGUCGGUGACCGAGGCUGCAAGAGCUGUAACACUGUGGCUAUAAUAUCAAAGAGCUGUUAACAUUGCAAGAGCUAUAACAUUAACCAAAGCCUCUUUUUAGAGCUAUCAUUUUUCCUAGCAGGCAGCAGAGCUGAGUGAAUGGGAAAGUGGCUGUAGUGCCACUGCCUUGUAGGAGACCCACUGCUCUGACCCACAGGCAGAUGGGUUACCGGUUUGGUGGCAGCCUCUCCCACCACGACAGCCGAGUCCACCCAAACUGGGGAACCUGAAGAGAACUUUACCAGCGUCCCACAUGGAUGAUCAGUUGCUGUCAUUUUGGCUCCUGUGGAGGGGGCCAUUUGAUUGAAGCACUCAAGAAAUAUACUAAUACAGACCAAGACUUCCUGGAAGGAUGAGCUCUCCUGGGUGUGCAUUUUAUUACUCAAUCUGCCUACGACAUUUGGAGGAAGCUACAAAAGGUAGCAAUGGGACCCCAAACCCCCCUGAGCCAAAUCUCAGACAGUGCCCUGGGGACAGGGCAGAGGAAAAGGUGAAAAUCAAAAGAAUUGGCCAAAAAGCACAAUUCUUAGUGGCUGCUUUAGGCUCCCUGCUGCCUUGGGGUUGCCUACCCUGAGGAAAUGUGGUGAGAUCAGCAUCUGGGAUGCUCAGACAAGAGCCCUCAAAUUGCUGGCUUCUAGGCCAAACUCAGUGUACUUCUAUAAGGUAGGUAGAGGGGCACUGGAGGAAGGACUGCUCCAGGUUUAAAAGGGAGUCUAAGCAGGAGGCUUAGGCACGAGAAUUGCUUGAACCCAGGAUGUGAAGUUU
rnacentral:lncRNA from 1 species